rnacentral:misc_RNA from 1 species
UUUGCAUAAUGUAGUCACUGCCAUAGACCUUGUUUCCUUGGCAUCUAUUGCUGUCUUUUGAGUUCUCUGCAUUGCAUGGAGUGUACCAUGAAGUCUUUCAACAUCAUCAAUGGUGCCUAGUUCACAUGCUACACUUCCUAGUUUGUGUACAUUAGGGUAGAUUUUAGUUUGUUGCUUGAAAAUGUUAUUAUGUGUUAUCUUGAUUGGCUUGGAAAGAUGA